rnacentral:rRNA from 1 species
UACAGAGGUCCCAAGCGUUGUUCGGAUUCACUGGGCGUAAAGGGUGCGUAGGUGGUGAGGUAAGUCGGAUGGGAAAUCUCCGGGCUCAACCCGGAAAUGGCAUUGGAAACUACCUUGCUGGAGGAUUUGAGGGGGGAUUGGAAUACCUGGUGUAGCAGUGAAAUUCGUAGAUAUCGGGAGGAACACCGGUGGCGAAGGCGGCGACCUGGGUCGACACUGACGCUGAGGCGCGAAAGCGUGGGGAGCAAACAGG